GAGAGUUUGAUCCUGGCUCAGAACGAACGCUGGCGGCAAGCUUAACACAUGCAAGUCGAACGGACAGUUAUUUAUAGCCUUGGCUAUAAGUAUCUGUUAGUGGCAGACGGGUGAGUAAUGCGUAGGAAUCUACCUAGUAGUAUGGAAUAGCUAUUAGAAAUGAUAGGUAAUACUGUAUAAUCCCUGCGGGGGAAAGAUUUAUCGCUAUUAGAUGAGCCUACGUUAGAUUAGCUAGUUGGUAAGGUAAUGGCUUACCAAGGCAAUGAUCUAUAGCUGGUCUGAGAGGACGAUCAGCCACACUGGAACUGAGAUACGGUCCAGACUCCUACGGGAGGCAGCAGUGGGGAAUAUUGGACAAUGGG
rnacentral:rRNA from 1 species